GGGCCGACCCUCCGCUACUUUGGGCUCCGGGAGUUUGUCUCCAGCGACUGCGGAGGUGCAGCAGCCUCAAUUCUAAGCACAGGUUGAAAACUACAGAUACAAGCCAUUGAAACUGGGAUCCUCUGAUGGUUGGUUAACUUGUAGCAGCCAUGUGUUUGUGCACUGCCACAGGAGUUCUGUCCUCUAGCAAGGAGGAGGACAGUGCCUGCGGUGACAGGGCAGUGUAGCAAAUGCUCAUGUUCAUCUUUUCAUUUAAUUCUCACAACUCUGAGGUAGAUAUUCUCUUGUUUUACAGAUGAAGGAACGGGUUAGGUGAGUAGCUCUGAACAAAAAACCUCGUGUGUAACUUUGGCAAUGUGAGUUCUGGAAGGUCACUUACCUCUUGAUAUUUGGUGUACUGGUGUAACAGUAAAAGAUCAGGAGGGAAGGACCACAAUAGGGCUGUUAGGAAUACAAACUCUUCAUGGUAUCUAAUUGCCUUGAACCUAGAGAAGUUUCCCGAAAUUUGGCACAAAGGGAGCACCUGUGAGUGUGUUAGGUGUUUUUGAUGUGUGUAGCAUAAUGAGGUACAAAAAAGGAUACAAAAAGCACAGUGGUGCUGGAUUGUUGGAGUAUAGUAUUGGAAGUGAUGGAGAAGAUUUUCACACGGGAAGUAAUGUAACAGUCUAGCAAGGUGUGCGCAGAGCCCAAUAAAGGCUAGAACAAGUCCAUUCCUGUUAAGUAGUCUGCAUGUCUAGCAGUUGAUUUUGAUAUUAGCCUGUUUGUCAGUUACAGAUAACUCAUUUUCUAGAAGUUUUAAAUAAAAGUAUUUAAUAUUCA